rnacentral:rRNA from 1 species
AGUGAACGCUGGCGGUAGGCCUAACACAUGCAAGUCGAACGGUAGCACAGGAGAGCUUGCUCUCUGGGUGGCGAGUGGCGGACGGGUGAGGAAUACAUCGGAAUCUACUUUUUCGUGGGGGAUAACGUAGGGAAAUUUACGCUAAUACCGCAUACGACCUACGGGUGAAAGCAGGGGACCUUCGGGCCUUGCGCGAUUGAAUGAGCCGAUGUCGGAUUAGCUAGUUGGCGGGGUAAAGGCCCACCAAGGCGACGAUCCGUAGCUGGUCUGAGAGGAUGAUCCGCCUCACUGGAACUGAGACACGGUCCAGACUCCUACGGGAGGCAGCAGUGGGGAAUAUUGGACAAUGGGCGCAAGCCUGAUCCAGCCAUACCGCGUGGGUGAAGAAGGCCUUCGGGUUGUAAAGCCCUUUUGUUGGGAAAGAAAUCCAGCUGGCUAAUACCCGGUUGGGAUGACGGUACCCAAAGAAUAAGCACCGGCUAACUUCGUGCCAGCAGCCGCAGUAA